GGAGGGGUGGGACCGACAGUAUAAAGGGGGCCCUGUCCUUCUCUUCCCUGGUGACCAUCACAUGAAGCCAACACCAGCUCCCCUGCCCCGGACAAGGCCUAGAUGAGGAAAGUAAGAGUCAAAAGGAGAGAGAAACUGGCCUGGGGUGGCCCCAACCAUGUGGGUUCCUGCCGUGGCGAAUCUGCUCCUUCUGUCCCUGGGCCUUCUGGAAGCAAUUCAGGCCCAGAGCCACCUGGUCACACGUCGAGACCUCUUCUCUCAAGAGACACCGCUGGACAUGGCCCCGGCCUCCUUUGAUGACCAGUACGUCGGCUGUGCAGCAGCCAUGACAGCUGCCCUCCCGCAUCUCAACCUCACGGAGUUCCAGGUCAACAAAGUGUAUGCGGACGGCUGGGCACUGGCAAGCAGCCAGUGGCGGGAGCGCUCGGCCUGGGGGCCCGAGUGGGGCCUCAGCACAACCCGGCUCCCCCCGCCGCCUGCGGGAUUUCGGGAUGAACACGGGGUGGCCCUGCUGGCCUACACGGCCAACAGCCCCCUACACAAGGAGUUCAAUGCCGCGGUACGCCAGGCGGGCCGCUCCCGGGCCCACUACCUCCAGCACUUCUCCUUCAAGACCCUGCACUUCCUGCUGACCGAGGCCCUGCAGCUGCUGGGCAGGGAUCAGCGAAUGCCCAGAUGCCGUCAGGUGUUCCGGGGGGUGCAUGGACUGCGCUUCCGGCCAGCAGGGCCCGGGACCACUGUCAGGCUGGGGGGCUUUGCCUCUGCGUCACUGAAAAAUGUAGCAGCCCAGCAGUUUGGCGAGGACACGUUCUUUGGCAUCUGGACCUGCCUUGGGGUCCCUAUCCAGGGCUACUCCUUUUUCCCUGGGGAGGAGGAGGUUCUGAUCCCCCCCUUUGAGACCUUCCAGGUCAUCAACGCCAGCAGACCUGCCCAGGGCCCUGCCCGCAUCUACCUGAAGGCGCUGGGCAAGCGCAGCUCAUACAACUGCGAGUACAUCAAAGAAAUGCAGUGCAAGUCUAGGCCCUGCCACCUGGACAAUUCAGCCUCGGCUCAGGAGCGCCUCUCCACAGCCUGGUCCCUCCUGCUGCUGCUCGCGUUCCUUGCGGUGGGGCCCUUCCCAGGAAGCCCAGGCCUCUUCUGACCCCCCAGACUCUGGACAUUCCUGCCUGCUGCCUCUGCCCACUCUGUGGAUGCUGCCCACCCCCAAGGUGUACAGAGCCAGGAUCCCUGGCACACCCAUCUGCUGGGAUCUCCAGCUCGCUCGCUCGCUCUCUGUCUCUCUCAAGUUGCAAGACCUGCUGGUGGAGAAACAGGAGAGCAUUUGGGGACUGAACCUCAUCCAGAUCUAGGAGUGAGACUGUGAAUGGGGGUGGGGGGUCAGGGUGAACUCCAGGACAGACGGCAACUCACUCGUAGAAGAGACUUCCACUCAUGUCAGGGCUGAAGGGAUUUGAGAGUGGGGUCCCUCUAAUGCAUCACCUGUCCACCUGGAGGCUCCUAUUCUCCCCUCCCAGCAGUCCUCUCUGACCUCUCCCACCUGCUGGGGGAGGGGCCCUGCCUCUGUGCUCCCACAGGGCCCUGGUCCUUCUCUAUCACCUGUCCACGUGUUCCUCCCGUGGAUGACCAUCAGCUUCCUGAGAAGAGACUGUUUUGACACACAGAGACGGCUCCAGGAAAUGUGGGAACCAGACGGGAACAAAUACCUGUGAACGGCUCUCCCGCACUGUCCCCAGCUGGACAAGUUCACAUUCUUGAAUGUCACUCUGGGGCAGGGGCUUGGACUGGAUCCAGCCUGGGGGACAGGGGCAGAGGGAACUGCAGGUUCUCUCAGGGCUCAGCAAACCCUAGUCUCUGUCUUGAGGACAAAGCUGUGACUCUGCUCCAGUCCAGGAUGCUGAGGUCCUGUCUCUAAAGAGACAAGCCGCUUCCAUGGCUUCCACCACCGCUGCCCCAAGGGUAGGACAGGACACAGGGCAGGCACAAGGUACACACUCAGUUUAUUAUCAGCUGGAGCUUCACAGCCAAUUGUCGGUGUGGCCUCCUGCUUUGGAAUAGGCCAUGAAUCCCAAA